AAUACGACAGCGCGUUGGCCGAGAAGCACAGACCAAGUGUGACUUGUGAAGAGCUCUCACAGAAAAAAUUAACUGCCUUUCCAAAAUGAGGGUUCUUUCAGGUCUUUCUCUGCUGGUUGUGGUGGCCGUGGCCGUCGCUGCUCCUAGCGACCCAGCGGUCUUAGUGCCCCAGGUGUCCCCAACUGCCCACAGCGUGUCAGGUGUCAGUACCACAGUGAGCAGCGUUGAAGACAAGAACAAGCCCGUGUUUGGAGGCUCCCGGCACACCAUCUUGGGCAGUGAGGACUACAGCGUUGGCGCCAGCCCCGACCACUCUGCUUUCGGUAGCCGACCCACCAGAACUGCCACUGAGGAGUCUCCGCGCCCCAUUGCUGGGCUCACGACCUCCACCAUCAGACCCCUCAGGCCCACACAGCGAUCUGGAAUCCCCAUUCCCCAUGUUCUCCGCGAAGGCCCCAGCGCCCUGGCACAGGUCGGACACCCAUCUCUAAGCGCCAGGAACAGCGGAGAAGACGCCGAGGACACAACUGAGCGUGAUGAGGAGGGACAUGAAUCUUCCGAGACCGACGAUAACAAACGUCACCCUCUGGUCCUCCAGGCGUCGAGGUCGAGGAGUCUCCGCAACUUCGACUUCCGCCCCAUAACCUUCCCCCUCCACGACCCCCCGUCCUUCCAGCCGGCGCCCCUGAGUGCUGCCUACACCUGGAACAAGGUCGACCAGGACGCGGAGGAGGUGUCCGUAGGAGGCGAGGGACACCCGGCGCCGGACCUGAGUCGUGACACAGCCGUCAAUUUCCUUCCUCCGGAUAGGCAAGGGAUGGUCAUGGUCGAGCCUGACGCCGAGGUGUUCGACCUCAACAGCGUCGUCGAGAAGUCGAACGACCUCGAGUUCAGUUAAUCGAUUACACUUGCAUUGCUCAGCGUAUGUUUAGUGACGCGUCGGAUAUUUAAAGUUUAAUUACCAGCUGUUACGACGCAGCCAUUGGGUUGGUGUUUCUUUAAUAACGGUUUAAAUUAUUACUUUGAUGUUUUUCUUCCUUCCACAGUAUUCCAUGGCGCUGGAUCUCUAGACAGUGGAUUACAGUUCUAGUCCUUUUAUUUCAUAUAGUUUCAUGCUUCUUUGUGUAAUUUCGUUUUAUCUGUCUGGCGUGAUGAUGUACAACUUUCGUUCUUUGCUCUCUGCUAUAACUUUAAUGAAAUGUACAACUGUCAAUAAAUAAUUAUUCCUCA